GACGUAGGGCGCGAGCGUUGUCCGGAUUUAUUGGGCGUAAAGAGCUCGUAGGCGGCUUGUCGCGUCGAAUGUGAAAUCUCAGAGCUCAACUCUGACAUUGCAUUCGAUACGGGCAGGCUAGAGUUCGGUAGGGGAGACUGGAAUUCCUGGUGUAGCGGUGAAAUGCGCAGAUAUCAGGAGGAACACCGAUGGCGAAGGCAGGUCUCUGGGCCGAUACUGACGCUGAGGAGCGAAAGCGUGGGGAGCGAACAGG
rnacentral:rRNA from 1 species